CGUGUAGGCGGCUGGAUAAGCCGCGUGUGAAAUCCCGGGGCUCAACCCCGGAACGGCACGCGGGACUGCUCGGCUAGAGAAUGGUAGAGGCAAGUGGAAUUCCUGGUGUAGCGGUGGAAUGCGUAGAGAUCAGGAAGAACACCGGUGGCGAAGGCGGCUUGCUGGGCCAUUUCUGACGCUGAGGCGCGAAAGCGUGGGAGCAAACA
rnacentral:rRNA from 1 species